AUUUUAAAAUGGACUUACCGAGCAACAGCAAAUGUAUCUCCAUCACUGAGAGGCCACAAGAGUAAAACAUCUUAUACUCCAGGAGAGCCUGGCUGCAUAGUCCUGCCCACAAAUGCUGCAAAAACACCCAGCACUGUGACAGGAUGCAGCUCAGCGGUUUUUAUGGAUCUGAAUUCUUAGAAAUGCCGAGAGCAGGAGGAAACCCUCAUCCUUGACAGUGGCAUUACCUUGUCCCCGAGGCAGAGCUGCUGAGGAGUGUGACGAACGCCAGCAGCUCUGUGCAGUGAGGCUGCUGCGUACUGGGAUCUGUGGCUCGGGGGACGGGAAAGUCUCAGUGGAUUGUUGCAGGACCAUGGGAGAGAUCAUGCGCAUCAGUAAUCCCAGGGACACCCUCCUGUAAACUUGUUUAGCCCUCACAAGAAUAUGGUCUCUUUGCUAGUUGCUUCAGGAUGGACGGCGCACAUUCGGAGUCCCUAAGGUGAGCUGCAGUGCGACUUCCCCGCUACCCAGUUAGCAACGGCUGUCAGAAGAGAGCUUUAAACGGCAAUGAGCGGAUGAACGUAGGUGCCACAUUGCUGUGAAGAUGCUCAUAGAGGACCAGAACAUGCAUAAACACAACCUUGCCAAAGAAACUGAACAGACUGCUGCUGUAUGCCACCCCAGAUACCAAAACAUGUCCCGCUGGACCAAGAUGAGAUUUUUUAGAAAGGUCGGACGUGUUUUGCACACAAUGGACAUUUCAGCGGCAGUUCUGUGUGGUUAACACAGUCAGAAGCUGCAGACACCAAUUCCAUGGCUGUGAAUGACACUGCGGACAGACGGAGACACACGCAGGCGAAAAAGGCCUCCAUUCAAAGCUGUCUCCCAAACCACCAUGGAAAAUCAGAUCAGCACGGAGCACCGCUGUGCCCAUCCCUCAGACGGCUAUUUCGGGCCUGGCGGCACUGUCAUUUACAUCAAAAACAGGGAAAGAUCGCCGUCAUCUGUGGACAAGGGUGGGAUUUUUCUGACUGCAAUGUGGAAAGUGUGGGACUUUUGGUCUCAGUAAAAAAAUAAAUAAGAAAAAGUACCACUGUCACGUAAGGAAACAAAAGCCAGUUUGAAAUCAAAAGCAACAGGUGGGAUGUGAACAGAACAGGCACUUCUGGGAUCAGAAGGGGAUACACACUCCUAUAGGGACCUAUAGUACCAGUCAAAAGUCUGAACACAUCUGCUUUUAAUACAUUUGUCUUUGUAUAAGCAAUGCUAUUCAUCUUAUUUUAAAAGACCUUGAGGCAAAGAAUACGUAUCACAUACUGCAACGACUAAGAAGUCUUGAAUAUCUCAAAAUUUUCUCAAAUUUCAGACUCUUCAAAAUAGACUCCUUUGGCUUUAAUGAUAUCACUGCAGACUCUCUGCAUUCUUUCAAUCAGCUUACAGAUAACCACCUGGAAUGCUUCUCCAUCAGCCCUGAAGGACUUUCCACAAGUUCUGGGCGCAAGUUGGCUACCUUGCUUCUACUCUUUGAUCCAAUCCAACCUAUCAUCCAAUCCCUAACCCACUCUACAGAGUUCAGGUCGGGGGAUCGUGGGGGCCAGGUCAUCCGUCACAGCACUCCAUCUCUUUCCUUGUUCACAAGGUAAUCCUUACUACAUAACGAACCUUAGCAGUCAUCCAGGUUAUCUUUUUGAAAAACGAAUGAUUUUCAGUUGGCGUGUCCAGAAUGCUGACUGGUCGAAGAAUGCUCCAGCAUCUCAGAAACACAGUUUCCUGCACUCUUGAUGUUGGACACCAUGCCACCACUAUGAACUGGCAUUAUAGCAAUAAUAAUGCUAGUUUAAAAUUAUACGGAUCAAAAUACAAAUAUUACAGUAACAAUUCCAAUAAAAGACACCAAAGCA